AUUGCGCCCUUUGGUAUUCCUUAGGGCAUGCCUGUUCGAGCGUCAUCUAAAACCCUCAAGCACUGCUUGGUGUUGGGCGCCUUGUCCCGCCCCCCUUCGGGGGCGCGGACUCGCCUCAAAAGCAUUGGCGGCCCGCGUGAUCGGCUUCGAGCGCAGCAGACCCGCGCCUCGCAAGACCCCCCCGCGCGGGCGUCCAAGAAGACACACCCCCAAGUUUGACCUCGGAUCAGGUAGGGAUACCCGCUGAACUUAA
rnacentral:misc_RNA from 1 species